rnacentral:rRNA from 1 species
UACGGAGGAUGCGAGCGUUAUCCGGAUUUAUUGGGUUUAAAGGGUGCGUAGGCGGACCGUCAAGUCAGCGGUAAAAUUGAGAGGCUCAACCUCUUCCCGCCGUUGAAACUGGUGGUCUUGAGUGGAUGAGAAGUACGCGGAAUGCGUGGUGUAGCGGUGAAAUGCAUAGAUAUCACGCAGAACUCCGAUUGCGAAGGCAGCGUACCGGCAUCCAACUGACGCUGAGGCACGAAAGCGUGGGGAUCAAACAGG